GAUGAACGCUGGCGGCGUGCCUAAUACAUGCAAGUCGAACGCUGGAGAUCUAGCUUGCUAGAUCGAAGGAGUGGCGAACGGGUGAGUAAUACAUAAGCAACCUACCCACGAAGACUGGGAUAAUCUCUGGAAACGGGGACUAAUACCGGAUAGGUAAUCGGAAGGCAUCUUCUGGUUAUUAAAGGUUAAAAACACUGGUGGAUGGGCUUAUGGCGCAUUAGUUAGGUGGUGAGGUAACGGCCCACCAAGACGAUGAUGCGUAGCCGGCCUGAGAGGGUGAACGGCCACAUUGGGACUGAGACACGGCCCAGACUCCUACGGGAGGCAGCAGUAGGGAAUUUUCGGCAAUGGGGGCAACCCUGACCGAGCAACGCCGCGUGAGUGAAGACGGCCUUCGGGUUGUAAAGCUCUGUUGUAAGGGAAGAACGGUAGAUAGAGAAUAUCUAAGUGACGGUACCUUACCAGAAAGCCACGGCUAACUACGUG
rnacentral:rRNA from 1 species